rnacentral:rRNA from 1 species
UACGAAGGGGGCUAGCGUUGCUCGGAAUCACUGGGCGUAAAGGGUGCGUAGGCGGGUCUUUAAGUCAGGGGUGAAAUCCUGGAGCUCAACUCCAGAACUGCCUUUGAUACUGAAGAGCUCGAGUCCGGGAGAGGUGAGUGGAACUGCGAGUGUAGAGGUGAAAUUCGUAGAUAUUCGCAAGAACACCAGUGGCGAAGGCGGCUUACUGGCUCAUUUCUGACGCUGAGGUGCGAAAGCGUGGGGAGCAAACAGG